CUCACACUCGGCUCUCAGAGCUAAAACCGUGUGUAUUAUCUGCGCUUUGCAGUGUAAUCUCUACAACGGUCUCAAAAUUGAGACCAGUGAAAUUACCUGUAUUUUUUCUGCCGGACAGGCUAUGUGAGCUUGCUUAACCCCGUCCAUCGGUCAACUUCUUAUGGCAUCACCUCGAGCAUUGAAUCAUUUUUG
rnacentral:snRNA from 1 species